AUUGAACGCUAGCGGGAUGCCUUACACAUGCAAGUCGAACGGAGUGGCGAACGGGUGAGUAAUGUAUCGGAACGUGCCCAGUAGCGGGGGAUAACUACGCGAAAGCGUAGCUAAUACCGCAUACUAUUGGAGCGGCCGAUAUGGGAUUAGCUAGCUGGUGGGGUAACGGCUCACCAAGGCGACGAUCCGUAGCUGGGUUGAGAGGAUGACCAGCCAGACUGGACCUGAGACACGGUCCAGACUCCUACGGGAGGCAGCAGUGGGGAAUUUUGGACAAUGGGGGCAAGCCUGAUCCAGCCAUCCCGGGUGUGAGAAGAAGGCCUUGGGGUUGUAAAGCACUUUUAGCGGGAAAGCGGUACCUGCAGAAGAAGCACCGGCUAACUACGUGCCAGCAGCCGCGGUAAUAC
rnacentral:rRNA from 1 species